rnacentral:ncRNA from 2 species
GGGUCCGGAAGCUGUUACAGCUUCUGGAGGGUUUUUCGUUAGCCGGGCCGCUAACU